rnacentral:sRNA from 1 species
ACGCUCGACGUCGCUCAGGGAGGAUGAAAUUAUCG